CCUACGGGGGACAGCAGUGAGGAAUAUUGGUCAAUGGACGCAAGUCUGAACCAGCCAUGCCGCGUGCAGGAAGACGGCUCUAUGAGUUGUAAACUGCUUUUGUACGAGGGUAAACGCAGAUACGCGUAUCUGUCUGAAAGUAUCGUACGAAUAAGGAUCGGCUAACUCCGUGCCAGCAGCCGCGGUAAUACGGAGGAUUCAAGCGUUAUCCGGAUUUAUUGGGUUUAAAGGGUGCGUAGGCGGUCGGAUAAGUUAGAGGUGAAAUCCCGGGGCUCAACUUCGGAAUUGCCUCUGAUACUGUUCGGCUAGAGAGUAGUUGCGGUAGGCGGAAUGUAUGGUGUAGCGGUGAAAUGCUUAGAGAUCAUACAGAACACCGAUUGCGAAGGCAGCUUACCAAACUAUAUCUGACGUUGAGGCACGAAAGCGUGGGUAGCAAACAGGAUUAGAUACCCGGGUAGUC
rnacentral:rRNA from 1 species